rnacentral:rRNA from 1 species
AGAGUUUGAUCAUGGCUCAGGAUGAACGCUGGCGGCGUGCUUAACACAUGCAAGUCGAAUGAACCUUCGGGUUAGUGGCGGACGGGUGAGUAACGCGUGAGAAUCUGCCCUCAGGAGGGGGACAACAGCUGGAAACGGCUGCUAAUACCCCAUAUGCCGAGAGGUGAAAUGAAUUUCGCCUGAGGAUGAGCUCGCGUCUGAUUAGCUAGUUGGUGAGGUAAAGGCUCACCAAGGCGACGAUCUCUAGCUGUUCUGAGAGGAAGAUCAGCCACACUGGGACUGAGACACGGCCCAGACUCCUACGGGAGGCAGCAGUGGGGAAUAUUGCACAAUGGGGGAAACCCUGAUGCAGCCAUGCCGCGUGUGUGAAGAAGGCCUUCGGGUUGUAAAGCACUUUCAGUUGUGAGGAAAAGUUAGUAGUUAAUACCUGCUAGCCGUGACGUUAACAACAGAAGAAGCACCGGCUAACUCCGUGCCAGCAGCCGCGGUAAUACGGAGGGUGCGAGCGUUAAUCGGAAUUACUGGGCGUAAAGCGCACGCAGGCGGUUUGUUAAGCUAGAUGUGAAAGCCCCGGGCUCAACCUGGGAUGGUCAUUUAGAACUGGCAGACUAGAGUCUUGGAGAGGGGAGUGGAAUUCCAGGUGUAGCGGUGAAAUGCGUAGAUAUCUGGAGGAACAUCAGUGGCGAAGGCGACUCCCUGGCCAAAGACUGACGCUCAUGUGCGAAAGUGUGGGUAGCGAACAGGAUUGGAUACCCUGGUAGUCCACACCGUAAACGCUGUCUACUAGCUGUGUGUGCCUUUAAGGCUGUGCGUAGCGAAGCUAACGCGAUAAGUAGACCGCCUGGGGAGUACGGCCGCAAGGUUAAAACUCAAAUGAAUUGACGGGGGCCCGCACAAGCAGCGGAGCGUGUGGUUUAAUUCGAUGAUAAGCGAAGAACCUUACCAAGGCUUGAAAUAUAUCUGACAGCUAGUGAAAGCUAGUCUCCUUCGGGCAGAUAUACAGAUGUUGCAUGGCUGUCGUCAGCUCGUGCCGUGAGGUGUUGGGUUAAGUCCCGCAACGAGCGCAACCCUCGUCGUUAGUUACUAUGUCUAGCGAGACUGCCUCUAAAAAAGAGGAGGAAGGUGGGGAUGACGUCAAGUCAGCAUGGCUCUUACGCCUUGGGCUACACACACGCUACAAUGGAUAGUACAAAGGGCUGCAAAGGAGCGAUCCGGAGCUAAUCCCAUAAAGCUAUCCCCAGUUGGAAUUACAGGCUGCAACUCGCCUGUAUGAACGCGGAGUUGCUAGUAAACGCAGGUCAGCACACUGCGUUGAAUACGUUCCCGGGCCUUGUAGA